AUUCCCACCACCUCCAUUACUUCCACCAAUGGAUGUAACCUUCCCACUUGAAGAUGACACUGAAAAUGUCUUAAUUGCAGAAGUAUCAAACUUUUGUUUACAACUACUCUCUUCCAAAGUAGAAACAGUUUCUGUAAGUGGUGGUGGUGGUGUAGCAGCAAUAGCAGCACUGUUUGCCAUAGAAUGAACACUAUAAUUAGCCAGCAGUAUCAUCACAUAUACCAUUAAAGUAGGUGUAUGUGAAAAUACUUGCUGAAAUAGCCACACAAAAGAUGCAUGCAUCUCCUUUUGUACUCUCACCAAAAU
rnacentral:lncRNA from 1 species